UACGGAGGGUGCAAACGUUGCUCGGAAUCAUUGGGCGUAAAGCGCACGUAGGCGGCCUGUUAAGUCGGGUGUGAAGGCCCUGGGCUCAACCCAGGAAGUGCACUCGAAACUGGCGGGCUUGAAUAUGGAAGAGGGUCGCGGAAUUCCCGGUGUAGAGGUGAAAUUCGUAGAUAUCGGGAGGAACACCAGUGGCGAAGGCGGCGACCUGGGCCAAUAUUGACGCUGAGGUGCGAAAGCGUGGGGAGCAAACAGG
rnacentral:rRNA from 1 species